rnacentral:rRNA from 1 species
AUUGAACGCUGGCGGCAGGCUUAACACAUGCAAGUCGAACGAGUGGCGGACGGGUGAGUAAUGUCUGGGAAACUGCCCGAUGGAGGGGGAUAACUAAUGGAAACGGUAGCUAAUACCGCAUACCAUCGGAUGUGCCGAGAUGGGAUUAGCUAGUAGGUGGGGUACCGGCUCACCUAGGCGACGAUCCCUAGCUGGUCUGAGAGGAUGACCAGCCACACUGGAACUGAGACACGGUCCAGCCUCCUACGGGAGGCAGCAGUGGGGAAUAUUGCACAAUGGGGGCAAGCCUGAUGCAGCCAUGCCGCGUGUAUGAAGAAGGCCUUCGGUUUGUAAAGUACUUUCAGCGGAGAGGCGUUACCCGCAGAAGAAGCACCGGCUAACUCCGUGCCAGCAGCCGCGGUAAUAC